GGCCUGUUAGCUCAGUUGGUUAAAGCGCCGAACGCGGAGGUCAUGAGUUCGAUCCUCAAACGGGCCA
rnacentral:tRNA from 1 species